AACGUAGGAGACAAACGUUAUCCGGAGUUACUGGGCGUAAAGGGCGUGUAGGUGGUUGCGUAAGUCUGGCGUGAAAUUUUUCGGCUUAACCGGGAAAGGUCGUCGGAUACUGCGUAGCUAGAGUACGGAAGAGGCGAGUGGAAUUCCUGGUGUAGCGGUGGAAUGCGCAGAUAUCAGGAGGAACACCGAUGGCGAAGGCAGGUCACUGGGCCACUACUGACGCUGAGGAGCGAAAGCAUGGGGAGCGAACAGG
rnacentral:rRNA from 1 species